rnacentral:rRNA from 1 species
CAACGUUAAUCGGGGCAGGGUGAGUCGACCCCUAAGGCGAGGCCGAAAGGCGUAGUCGAUGGGAAACAGGUUAAUAUUCCUGUACUUGGUGUUACUGCGAAGGGGGGACGGAGAAGGCUAUGUUGGCCGGGCGACGGUUGUCCCGGUUUAAGCGUGUAGGCUGGUUUUCCAGGCAAAUCCGGAAAAUCAAGGCUGAGGCGUGAUGACGAGGCACUACGGUGCUGAAGCAACAAAUGCCCUGCUUCCAGGAAAAGCCUCUAAGCAUCAGGUAACAUCAAAUCGUACCCCAAACCGACACAGGUGGUCAGGUAGAGAAUACCAAGGCGCUUGAGAGAACUCGGGUGAAGGAACUAGGCAAAAUGGUGCCGUAACUUCGGGAGAAGGCACGCUGAUAUGUAGGUGAAGUCCCUCGCGGAUGGAGCUGAAAUCAGUCGAAGAUACCAGCUGGCUGCAACUGUUUAUUAAAAACACAGCACUGUGCAAACACGAAAGUGGACGUAUACGGUGUGACGCCUGCCCGGUGCCGGAAGGUUAAUUGAUGGGGUCAGCGCAAGCGAAGCUCUUGAUCGAAGCCCCGGUAAACGGCGGCCGUAACUAUAACGGUCCUAAGGUAGCGAAAUUCCUUGUCGGGUAAGUUCCGACCUGCACGAAUGGCGUAAUGAUGGCCAGGCUGUCUCCACCCGAGACUCAGUGAAAUUGAACUCGCUGUGAAGAUGCAGUGUACCCGCGGCAAGACGGAAAGACCCCGUGAACCUUUACUAUAGCUUGACACUGAACAUUGAGCCUUGAUGUGUAGGAUAGGUGGGAGGCUUUGAAGUGUGGACGCCAGUCUGCAUGGAGCCGACCUUGAAAUACCACCCUUUAAUGUUUGAUGUUCUAACGUGGACCCGUGAUCCGGGUUGCGGACAGUGUCUGGUGGGUAGUUUGACUGGGGCGGUCUCCUCCUAAAGAGUAACGGAGGAGCACGAAGGUUGGCUAAUCCUGGUCGGACAUCAGGAGGUUAGUGCAAUGGCAUAAGCCAGCUUGACUGCGAGCGUGACGGCGCGAGCAGGUGCGAAAGCAGGUCAUAGUGAUCCGGUGGUUCUGAAUGGAAGGGCCAUCGCUCAACGGAUAAAAGGUACUCCGGGGAUAACAGGCUGAUACCGCCCAAGAGUUCAUAUCGACGGCGGUGUUUGGCACCUCGAUGUCGGCUCAUCACAUCCUGGGGCUGAAGUAGGUCCCAAGGGUAUGGCUGUUCGCCAUUUAAAGUGGUACGCGAGCUGGGUUUAGAACGUCGUGAGACAGUUCGGUCCCUAUCUGCCGUGGGCGCUGGAGAACUGAGGGGGGCUGCUCCUAGUACGAGAGGACCGGAGUGGACGCAUCACUGGUGUUCGGGUUGUCAUGCCAAUGGCACUGCCCGGUAGCUAAAUGCGGAAGAGAUAA